GAUGAACGCUGGCGGCGUGCCUAAUACAUGCAAGUCGAGCGAACGGACGAGAAGCUUGCUUCUCUGAUGUUAGCGGCGGACGGGUGAGUAACACGUGGAUAACCUACCUAUAAGACUGGGAUAACUUCGGGAAACCGGAGCUAAUACCGGAUAAUAUUUUGAACCGCAUGGUUCAAAAGUGAAAGACGGUCUUGCUGUCACUUAUAGAUGGAUCCGCGCUGCAUUAGCUAGUUGGUAAGGUAACGGCUUACCAAGGCAACGAUGCAUAGCCGACCUGAGAGGGUGAUCGGCCACACUGGAACUGAGACACGGUCCAGACUCCUACGGGGGGCAGCAGUAGGGAAUCUUCCGCAAUGGGCGAAAGCCUGACGGAGCAACGCCGCGUGAGUGAUGAAGGUCUUCGGAUCGUAAAACUCUGUUAUUAGGGAAGAACAUAUGUGUAAGUAACUGUGCACAUCUUGACGGUACCUAAUCAGAAAGCCACGGCUAACUACGUGCCAGCAGCCGCGGUAAUACGUAGGUGGCAAGCGUUAUCCGGAAUUAUUGGGCGUAAAGCGCGCGUAGGCGGUUUUUUAAGUCUGAUGUGAAAGCCCACGGCUCAACCGUGGAGGGUCAUUGGAAACUGGAAAACUUGAGUGCAGAAGAGGAAAGUGGAAUUCCAUGUGUAGCGGUGAAAUGCGCAGAGAUAUGGAGGAACACCAGUGGCGAAGGCGACUUUCUGGUCUGUAACUGACGCUGAUGUGCGAAAGCGUGGGGAUCAAACAGGAUUAGAUACCCUGGUAGUCCACGCCGUAAACGAUGAGUGCUAAGUGUUAGGGGGUUUCCGCCCCUUAGUGCUGCAGCUAACGCAUUAAGCACUCCGCCUGGGGAGUACGACCGCAAGGUUGAAACUCAAAGGAAUUGACGGGGACCCGCACAAGCGGUGGAGCAUGUGGUUUAAUUCGAAGCAACGCGAAGAACCUUACCAAAUCUUGACAUCCUUUGACAACUCUAGAGAUAGAGCCUUCCCCUUCGGGGGACAAAGUGACAGGUGGUGCAUGGUUGUCGUCAGCUCGUGUCGUGAGAUGUUGGGUUAAGUCCCGCAACGAGCGCAACCCUUAAGCUUAGUUGCCAUCAUUAAGUUGGGCACUCUAAGUUGACUGCCGGUGACAAACCGGAGGAAGGUGGGGAUGACGUCAAAUCAUCAUGCCCCUUAUGAUUUGGGCUACACACGUGCUACAAUGGACAAUACAAAGGGCAGCGAAACCGCGAGGUCAAGCAAAUCCCAUAAAGUUGUUCUCAGUUCGGAUUGUAGUCUGCAACUCGACUACAUGAAGCUGGAAUCGCUAGUAAUCGUAGAUCAGCAUGCUACGGUGAAUACGUUCCCGAGUCU
rnacentral:rRNA from 1 species